rnacentral:lncRNA from 1 species
UUUUUUUUUUUUUUUUUUUUUUUGCAAUGUUGGCAGUUGACCCUAUAACCACACACACAAGGUGAGUGCUGUCCCUGAGCAGGUCUAGUUCAACACAGAGGAUUGAGAGUGUGUUUUCACAUGAGCCCAGAAAAUCCAGAAAGGGAUUCUAGAGUGUCAAGUAUGUCACUCGCUGUCAGAGCAACUGCCCUGUUAUGUCGUGUUUUGUGGCUCUGGGCUUACUUCUUAGCAUGGGCUGUGUGUGGUGUGCACACGUGCUGCAGGGGGGUAGCCUGUGCAGAUGGUACCAGUCUGACAAGAACAUUCCCUGUGUACUUAGCGCCCGAUAUCUCAUAACCACUCCCCUCUGCUUCCCUUUGGCUCAAAACCCCCAAGUCCUGCUGGAUUCUGGCAGGUCUCAGAAAUACUUUUCUCACCCACCCCCUUCCUCUUCUCCCUCGGUGCUUUCCUGACCCUGUAGGCAUCGCUUCAUAUCCUUGCUAAUGCAUGGCUUCUCCCUGUUGGCUGGGCUUCACCGUCUGGACUUCUCACGUCUAUCCACUCAUGUGUAUUGUGAGGAGUGUGUGUGUGUGUGUGUGUGUGUGUGUGUGUGUGUGUGUGUGUUACCUUGCUCUAUCACUCUCUGCCAAAUUCUCUUGAGACAAGGUUUCUCACCAAGCCUGGAGCCAGAAUGGCAGCCAGUAAGACCCAAUGAUCCUCUGUCUUUGCUCUCCCAGAGCCGUGGUUAUUGGGGUGUGCAGCCACGACUAGCCUUUUCCAUGGGUGCUUGGGAUCCGAACUCAGGAGCUUAUGAAUAUACAGCAAGCACUCUUAUUACCCACUGAGCCAUCUUCAUAGCCCAUGCAGCCCCAGCCCUGACCUUGAUCUGGUCUCAUGUAGGCCAGGCCAAAGUUGGACUGGAAUUUCUCUCAUUCUCUUGCCUCUGCCUGUGGAAUGUUGGGAUUACAGUUGUGUCACGCCUGAUGCUUUUUGAGACUCAGGCUGGCCUGGAACUCAGAGGUGCCUCACCUGGCUUGGUUGGCUUUUAUCAUCACUUCUGCUGUACUAGUUUCUACCCCUUGACUUCCACUGCUUUCCCUAGCCCCACCCAGCCUCUCCACCUUCUGUCACAUCUCUUCACUAGUGGGCCAUGUCCCUGUCUCUGCAGAAUAGCUGAGUUCUAACCCAACAACUGCCCUUUUGAUUACAAUUCUCUGACCGCUGUAAUCUACUCACUUCAUGGCUAGGGCACUUUAUGUCUCUGUGUAAUUCUCCAAUGGUAUCUGGUGGAGAGAGAUCUCCCUGGAAACAGGUACGAUUCAUUCAGAAAAUGUCACAUGUCUCCCAGAUGCCAGGCCGUUGGCUGCGUUACAAGUGGCAGCCUGGCCCUUGCCCUCUGUUUGCUCAGCUCUUCCCUAAAACAUUCCCUAGCAAUUUAACUUUUAUACUGCCAGCAGAAACCUGUGCACAUAGUCAGGGUCCUUUCUCCUUUGGCUGAGGGGAACAAUGUGAUCUGGGAUCUGGUGGCUGUGUUUCCUGGAGCCUAUCUUGGUUCCCAAUAGGCAAUAGGCCUGGCUUCUCUGUGAAGGGAAAAGGCUCCAGACUGCAGCUAGCGGCACAGUCACUCUCCAUAGAACGUGACCCUUAUAUUGGAAUAAGAUAGCAACAGCUGUAGCAUCCAGAACAGAAGGACAGAGCUAGAGAUGUAGUUCAGUAGGUAGAGUGCUUACCUAAGCAGGAAUGGAGCCCUGGGCUUUAAUCGCUAGCACCACAUAAACAGGGCAUGGUACACUUGUAAUAUAGUACCAGGAAAUGAAACUAAUAAGAUCAGAUGUUCAAGGUCAUUUCAGAAGCCAAUCUGGGUCAGAACCUUG